rnacentral:lncRNA from 1 species
UCAGAUUACAAUGAAAUAACUUUGUUGUUGUGCCCAACAAAAUCCAAAAUAGUUAAUUUUUUUUAAAAAAAAACUUGUCUGGUGUCCUUAAGAUCGAUUUGCCGCCCUUCUUGCCUGUCGCACACCAUCAUCACCCCCACCAAAUUUGGCUUGGACCUUGAUCAUGGAAACAUAGAAAAGGACUCCUCAACCCCAUCGAAGCAACUAUAAGAAGCCACCUCCGACUUCACCUCUGCUUCCUCUCGAUCCUACAUGUGCCUUCCUCCUCUACCAAAGCUCCAGCCAUGAGGAAUCGAGAGAGGUGGUUGACACCAGCCAUUUUCUAUACUAUAGUAUGAUAUCACCAUAGAGGGCUAGGCUUGGAUGCACCAUUCCGAUGACAAGAUCAUUAGGUAUGGAUGGUAUCGGACAAGAUAGCUCAUGAUGAUGGUUCUGAGGGCCCCAGUCAGGCUCUCUCCAGUGGCCUUCCGACAUGAUCCCAACUAGAGAGAGAUAGCAUUGAGCUCAUCUGGCUUCUGCAUCAGCAGAAGGUAUGAAGGAU